CCGGGAGGGAGACGCGCGCGGAAGGGCGGCGGGGCGGGGAGCGCCGAGCGGCAGGACCCUAGGAGGCCUGCGUGUUUAUUGUCUCCCCGGGUCGUUCCCGGAAAGGACGCCGCGCUGUCCGGGGCCAAGAGGGCGCGGCGACGAAGUUGAGAAACCCCCUGAAGUCGCAGUCGGCCGCUGUUCCCGGAGGCGGGGUGUUUAAUAAAUGAGCGGUCUCCCGUUUGCCCCGGAGAGCGUGUGCGGGAGACUCCGGGUCUGCGCAGCUCCGAGGACUCGCGAGGUGCUCCGGGAGGAGGAAGACCCGCGUGGGCAAGGCCACGACAAGCUCUCAACUGUUACAAUAACUUUACUAGUCUCUCAGAAGCCUCAUCGUAAGCCAGGUGUAGUGGUACAUGCCUAUAAUCGCAGUACACGGGAGGCUGAGACAGGAGGAUCCUUGGGAGUUCGAGGCCAACUUGGGCUACAAAGUGAGUUCAAGACAGCCUGAAGUGCAUAGAGAGACCCAGUCUCCAAAAAAAAAAAAAAAAAAGCCUCAUCCUUUCCUUUACCAGAAAACUAGUCCACCAAACAAGAUCCCACAAACUAGCUAGUGUGUCUGGCAAAAACUGAUUAAGCUAUUAGACUCAAAAUAUUGUUUUCACAAUCAAAUAUCCCUCAUGUCUCUGAGGUUGGAAAUCUUUCUUUUUCUCCCUGAAUUGUAUGUUCUCUUAGUACUUUGAUCAUAUCUUUACUAUGGUAUCCAUGAAAUUGUGUUGUAGUUACUUAAUUACAUUUCUGCCUUUAUAGCACUCAUGUGCUGAGUCAUCUGCCCAGAGUGCCCUUUCUGAAGAGAUGCUGUUUCUCUCAAUCUCCUGAAAUAUCCUUCUAUUGUAGUUAGCUUUUUCUUCCUACAAGAAAUAUUAUACAUAAAUUAAUUUAAAAAGAAAAGAGAUUUAUUGUGGCUCACAGU
rnacentral:lncRNA from 1 species